GCUCAAAUCACUGCAGUUAUUCGUGAAACAUACUCAUUUGAUGUUAAAAAGAAGGGGGAAGGACGGGAGGAGAGAAAAAACAACACGCCCCUCACCCCCACGCUCCUACACCCCUUGAAACACUAAUUAUGUUAUAAACUAGCAAAAUAUAAUUUUUGUUUUUAA